UGGGGAAUAUUGCACAAUGGGCGAAAGCCUGAUGCAGCAACGCCGCGUGAGUGAUGAAGGUCUUCGGAUUGUAAAGCUCUGUCCUUUGGGACGAUAAUGACGGUACCAAAGGAGGAAGCCACGGCUAACUACGUGCCAGCAGCCGCGGUAAUACGUAGGUGGCGAGCGUUGUCCGGAUUUACUGGGCGUAAAGGGUGCGUAGGCGGAUGUUUAAGUGAGAUGUGAAAUACCCGGGCUUAACUUGGGUGCUGCAUUUCAAACUGGAUAUCUAGAGUGCAGGAGAGGAGAAUGGAAUUCCUAGUGUAGCGGUGAAAUGCGUAGAGAUUAGGAAGAACACCAGUGGCGAAGGCGAUUCUCUGGACUGUAACUGACGCUGAGGCACGAAAGCGUGGGUAGCAAACAGGAUUAGAUACCCUGGUAGUCCACGCCGUAAACGGUGAGUACUAGGUGUAGGAGGUAUCGACCCCUUCUGUGCCGCAGUAAACACAUUAAGUACUCCGCCUGGGAAGUACGAUCGCAAGAUUAAAACUCU
rnacentral:rRNA from 1 species